AACGAACGCUGGCGGCGUGCCUAACACAUGCAAGUCGUGCGAGAAAGUUCCUUCGGGAGCGAGUAAAGCGGCGCACGGGUGAGUAACACGUAGGUAACCUGCCCCCCAGUCUGGAACAACUAGAGGAAACUCUAGCUAAUGCCGGAUGAGACCACGAUCCCUUCGGGGGUUGCGGCCAAAGAUGGCCUCUACUUGUAAGCUAUCGCUGAGGGAUGGGCCUGCGGGCCAUUAGCUUGUUGGUGAGGUAACGGCUCACCAAGGCUGUGAUGGCUAGCUGGUCUGAGAGGAUGACCAGCCACACUGGGACUGAGACACGGCCCAGACUCCUACGGGAGGCAGCAGUGGGGGAAUAUUGCGCAAUGGGCGAAAGCCUGACGCAGCGACGCCGCGUGGGUGAUGAAGGCCU
rnacentral:rRNA from 1 species